rnacentral:tRNA from 1 species
GCUCCAGUGGCGCAAUUGGUUAGCGCACGGUACUUAUAAGACAGUAAACGUAGCGAUGCCGUGGUUGUGAGUUCGAGCCUCACCUGGAGCA